AAGCUUGAGCAUUGCACUCAGGUUGGUUAUGUUUCAGCUUUUUGUAAAUAGAAUGUAAGAGUAGUACUUGGUGUGGUAUCCUUGGUUGUUCCAACUUUUGUAAGUGGUAAACUACUGAGUGCUAGAGAAUGGAUGAUCACAGUCAUUUGGGUAGCCUGCUGUACAGUUUUGCUUUGUUAUUGACUUCUUGUAGUUGGUUGACCCUGAUUCUAG
rnacentral:misc_RNA from 1 species